UACUGCCAAGAGUGCAAGUGUCAUGUGCC
rnacentral:piRNA from 1 species